rnacentral:rRNA from 1 species
UACGUAGGGGGCGAGCGUUAUCCAGAUUUACUGGGCGUAAAGCGCGUGUAGGCGGCUGGUUAGGUGUGAUGUGAAAUCCCGGGGCUUAACCCCGGAACUGCAUUUGAUACUGCUUUGCUUGAGGACUGGAGAGGAGAUCGGAAUUCACGGUGUAGCAGUGAAAUGCGUAGAUAUCGUGAGGAAGGCCAGUGGCGAAGGCGGAUCUCUGGACAGUUCCUGACGCUGUGGCACGAAAGCUAGGGGAGCAAACAGG